CUGAGGCCCGCACAGGUGUCCUCCUCGAAAGACGUGGCGACCCCUGCGGGCAGGGGCGGGGAGUGGCAACCCUUUUCCCCAGCGCCACGUGUGGAACUGGGUUCCUCCGCCCGAGUGGGACCGGGCCGCGAGUGGGCGCCGCGCGCCGCCCAGAGCGCGAGGGAGAGCGAGGCUGGGCGCCGAACCGCCCGGGAGCCCCGAGGCCGCGAGCUUCCCCGCCACGCUGUUUGCGAGAGCUGUGGCGAGAACCAUUGAACUGCACAGUGUAAUCUACGGUGCAGAAGAAAGUGGAAACUCUGAGUCAUCCAAGCAAUCGGGAAUGGUCGAUCUCAUUUCAAAACAAAACAAAAGUCUUGGCAUAGUUUUCAAAGACAAAGCAUGACAGGAAUCUCCAGGGCUUGCGCUCAUCUCCUGGGUGCUUUCUGCUUGACGCACAGCCUGACUACCCAUCCACUGCGGGCAAAGCUGCACCUGUAAAGCAGUUCUUCCUGUGCAGUAUUUGUAGAAUACAGAUCCUGCCAGAAACCUAUGCAAACAUUUUUGGACCUUCUCUUUUGCUUUUAGGUAUGUUAUGAGAAGUCCAGCUUUUUAUGUGAGCAUCAGCAGCAAAGCCAGAUGGAAUACCAUACUAGUGACCCUGCAUGUGAAUGCACCAAAAUAUGCGAGUUGAUCAAUCUGUGAAAAAAAACACAAUCCAUGGUAUUUAUACCUCUCAAUGAGUCUUUUCAAAGAGUGGUUCAGGAAUCCUUGAAGGUCCCUGGGACCUUCUCAGAGGAUACACAGGUCAAAACUAGUUUGUAAUCAUAUUAAGGCUUUAUUUGCUUUUACACUCCAGAGCAACGUCAUGUCUAAUGAUAUUGUUACUAAGAGAAUGUGUGCUUGUGCACUUUUGUGUUUAAAAACUUUCCAGGUUUCAUUUAUUGUAUGGUAAAUAUAAUUUGAUAAAGACCCACCCAAACCAAAGUCUUAGGGUCGGUCCUCAAUUAUAAAGGUCCUCAGACCAUCAUAUUUGACAACUACUGAUCUCCUGCAGUACAAUUAUCUAGUCCCCUAAACUCCUGCAUAGUAUUUGCUUCUCUUCACUAUGACUAGAGAACAGUGGUCCUGUUGGCAAUUGCUUUGCAUUUACAUUAAUUGCUUGGAGAAACCAGAAGAGGAAGGAAGGGAGGGAGGGAAGGAAGGAAGGCCGGCCAGGAGAAGCCUCAGAAAGAGAAGCCUACCUACCAAAAGAGCAUAUUUCUAUCCUUUAGACUUGGAGACCUGAACUAUGCUAAUCUGUAAACUACUGGUUCUGUAAUUUUUCUUGGACAUAAAUCUGGUAGGCCUUUUAAAUCGUCUUUGAAGUGAUGCUAAGAAUAAACCAAACAGCAGUUGUUCUUGAAUUGGGUGGAAAAAGUCAUCUUCUUAUUUUUCUGUAAGAGAUCAUGAUAGGCAGAAUUCUAAAAAUGACCCCAGUGGCCUUUGCCCUUGUGUAAUCUCUAUCCAUUUGUGUGGGAUGGAGCAUGUAAAUUUGAUGAAAUGAUAUUCCUGUGAGUAUCUAACAUUUUACGGCAAAUGUGUGAUUCUGCAUCUGGUCCCAAUUCAAUAAAUGAGUUCUUUAAAUGCAAAAUUUUCAGAGAGAUUUGAAGGAUGAUAAGAAUUUGAUGUGCUGCUGCUGGAGGGGACUGUGCUCCAAAGAACAUGAUCAGUCUGUAGCAACUGUGACUGGCUUCUGGUGCUCAGCUAGCAAGCAAGUGGCGAUGCCAGUUCUACCACCAUAUGGACCUGAGUUCUGCUACAGACCUCAAUGAACUGGGAAGUGGAUUCUUCCUCAGAGCAACUGGAGAAGAGCUUGGCCUGCUCAACAUCUUAGUUUUCGACUGUGGAACACUAAGCAGAGAACCCACUCAAGCCCACCUGGACUUCUGAUCUACAGAAUUGUGAGUUAAGAGAGAUAAUUUUUUUAAAAAUGCUAAAUUUGUGGUAAUUGUUGUAUAGCAAUAGGAAAUUAAUAUAGAGGUAAAUAGGAUAUAUUUUUAAAUUGAGGUAGUAUUCACAUAACAUGAAAAUAGCCAUUAACCAUAUUGAAGUGUGCAACUCAGUGCCAUUAGUGUAUUCACUGCAUUGUGGAGCCAUUCUUUCUGUCUAGUUCCAAGACAUUUACAACCACUCUUUCCAUGAAAACUGGACAGAAAACCCAUACCAUUAAGCUACUAGUAUCUGUUCCCCCUCCUUCCAGCCCCUAGCAAACUGCAAUGUGCUUUCUAUCAUUAUGAAUUUACAAACUUCAUACAACAUAUGACCCUUCUUGUCUGGCUUUUUUAGUUUAGCAUAAUGUUUCAAAUUUCCCUUCACAUUGUAGUAUGUGGUAGUACUUCAUUCCUUAUUGUAGUGGAGUAAUAUGUGUAUACUCUACAUUUUGCUUAUGGAUUCAUCUGUUGAUGGACAUUUGAGUUGUUCUUGCUUUUUGGCUCUUAUGAAUAGUGCUGGUGUGAACAUUCCUGUGCAAGUGUUUAAAUGCCUAUUUUCAGUUCUUUGGGAGUAUUUACCUAGGAGAAGGAUUGCUGUUUCAUUGGCAAUUCUGUGUUUAUUUGAGGAAUUGCCAAACUGUUCUGCAGAGAAACUACACCAUUUUACAUUCUACAAGCAAUGUAUAAAAGGUUCCUAUUUUCCCACAUCUUUGUCAACAUUUAUUUUCCUUUUUAAAAAAUAGCCAUCCUAAUGGGUAUGAAAUGGUAUCUCAUCGUAGUUUUGAUUUGCAUUUCCCAAUGAUUGAUGAUGCUUACCAUCUUUUCAUGUAUUUGUUAACUAUUUGUAUAUCUUCUUGAGAAAUAUGUCUAUUCAAGUCCUUUGCCCACUUUUUUAUUGGGUGGUUUGUCU
rnacentral:lncRNA from 1 species